rnacentral:rRNA from 1 species
AGUGCUACGAAAGAAGAACCUGCACACGAGGUGCUGCAGUGGCUGUCGUCAGCUCGUGUCGUGAGAUUGGUUAGGGUUAACGUCCCGCAACGGGCGCAACCCUUGCCAUUAGUUGCUACGAAAGGGCACUCUAAUGGGACUGCCGGUGACAAACCGGAGGAAGGUGGGGAUGACGUCAAGUCCUCAUGGCCCUUAUAGGUGGGGCUACACACGUCAUACAAUGGCCGGUACAGAGGGUAGCCAACCCGCGAGGGGGAGCCAAUCCCACAAAGCCGGUCGUAGUCCGGAUCGCAGUCUGCAACUCGACUGCGUGGAGUCGGAAUCGCUAGUAAUCGCGGAUCAGCAUGUCGCGGUGAAUACGUUCCCGGGUCUU